rnacentral:misc_RNA from 1 species
AUUAAAAAAAAAAAAAAAAUCUAACCAUCAUUAAAGAAUGUGCCAAUCAAAAUAACAAUUCUUUGGCUGAAGAUAUUAUAGGAAGCAGAUCCAUUAUAAACGCAAGAUCCUGAGGAAAACAUGAAAUUUGUUCAAUUGGUGUGAAGAAUGCAAGAAGUUGUCUUGACAGCAUUCCAUGAUAAGUUCUCAACUUUUGUUUAUUCUAUUCUCUCUUAUAACAACUAUGAGACUAUUACAUUAUCCUAAUCCCAUAAGAGAGAAGAAGCUAUGGAAAACAAUUGCCCACUACAGUAAAAGAAACUGUUAGAUAGUGAUAAAUUAAUUUAUACUCCUUGAAGUAAAUGAGUGAAGCGAAUAACAUAAGUCUUUUUGAUGAGAUAGCCAAAAGUAACAUUGUUAUUCACUUAUAAAUACACUAUUGUACCUAGAUUACUCAUAUGCCCUUGCAAGAAAGAUUCCUCUGAAUGCAAAAAAAUUCACUAACAGAAACACAUCACAAACAGCUGGGGAUCUCUAGAAAGGCAUGCUCUAGUACCUAAAACAGGUAUGACCACAGGUUAAAAAAAAGGCUAAGGAAGUUGCACUUUUUUCUAGCUACGCUUGCAACGUUGAACAUUGCCUAAGCACCUCAGGAAAAAUCAGAUUAAUGAAUUGGACCAAGUUACCAAGAGGAUGGAAAAAUAGGGAAUUAUUUCUACCAUAAGUAUCUAAAGCACAAAGCAAGAACAUGAACCAGCAUAAAGUCCGAAACACCUCCACGUCUUGAAAGUGCAGCAAAUUCGCAUGCAUGAUCACAUUAGUUAAAAAGUAAAACAGAUCAACAAGACUCGAAAUUUCAAAUGGAAAAUAAAAGGUAAUGUUCACACACCAAAAAAAGGGAAGAAGAUCUUAUAGCUAAAGAAAGUUUCAUUCAAUCAUAUGUUCUGUGCCAAGAAGCCCAAGGCCAUGCCUACAUUAACAUUUUUUUAUCAAAAGAACCUAGAGUUGCAGUGAAAGUAUGCUUAUUAAAAUUUAGGAUCCAGCUAAACCUACAAAGUCUCAUCUAGAUAUGCCGAUUUACUGCACCAUAUUAAAUUCUGAGCCUAACAUUUUU